GUAGGUGGCAAGCGUUGUCCGGAAUUAUUGGGCGUAAAGCGCGCGCAGGGCGGUCCUUUAAGUCUGAUGUGAAAGCCCACGGCUCAACCGUGGAGGGUCAUUGGAAACUGGGGGACUUGAGUACAGAAGAGGAAAGCGGAACUCCAAGUGUAGCGGUGAAAUGCGUAGAGAUUUGGAGGAACACCAGUGGCGAAGGCGGCUUUCUGGUCUGUAACUGACGCUGAGGCGCGAAAGCGUGGGGAGCAAACAGGAUUAGAUACCCUGGUAGUCCACGCCGUAAACGAUGAGUGCUAAGUGUUAGGGGGUUUCCGCCCCUUAGUGCUGCAGCUAACGCAUUAAGCACUCCGCCUGGGGAGUACGGCCGCAAGGCUG
rnacentral:rRNA from 1 species